CGGGACGGGUGAGUAACGCGUGGGCAACCUGCCUUACACAGGGGGAUAACAAUUAGAAAUGAUUGCUAAUACCGCAUAAGACCACAGCAUUGCAUGAUGCAGUGGUAAAAACUGAGGUGGUGUAAGAUGGGCCCGCGUCUGAUUAGGUAGUUGGUGGGGUAGAAGCCUACCAAGCCGACGAUCAGUAGCCGACCUGAGAGGGCGACCGGCCACAUUGGGACUGAGACACGGCCCAAACUCCUACGGAAGGCAGCAG
rnacentral:rRNA from 1 species